rnacentral:rRNA from 1 species
CCAAUAGCAUAUAUUAAAGUUGUUGCAGUUAAAAAGCUCGUAGUUGAAUUUCGGGAUCAAUACGUCGGUCGUGCCUCUGGUAUGUACUGGUGUUAUUGAUUCCUCCUUUCUGAUGAACCAUGAUGUCAUUAAUUUGGUGUUGUGGGGAGUCAGGACUGUUACUUUGAAAAAAUUAGAGUGUUUAAAGCAGGCCUACGCUUGAAUACAUUAGCAUGGAAUAAUGAAAUAGGACGUUCGAACCUAUUUUGUUGGUUUCUAGGAUCAACGUAAUGAUUAAUAGGGAUAGUUGGGGGCAUUAGUAUUCAAUUGUCAGAGGUGAAAUUCUUGGAUUUAUUGAAGACUAACUACCGCGAAAGCAUUUGCCAAGGAUGUUUUCAUUAAUCAAGAACGAAAGUUAGGGGAUCGAAGACGAUCAGAUACCGUCGUAGUCUUAACCAUAAACUAUGCCGACUAGGGAUCGGAUGAUGUUAAUUUUUUAAUGGCUCAUUCGGCGCCUUACG